rnacentral:rRNA from 2 species
GGUCAAUAGCCUAACGGCUGAACCAGCAACUUGGAGGAAUGUAUAGCAAUAGCUACUUGCAUCAUUGUAAAAAUGAUGCAGGAUCGACUAUGUCGAAUAAAAUUCUAGGUAGAAUUUUGAUAAUGACAUUGUCUGCCUAUGUGUCUUGACCAAAUUACGUGCCAGCAGUCGCGGUAAUACGUAGAAGACUAGUGUUAUUCAUGUUUAAUCGGUUUAAAGGGUACCUAGACGGUAAAUCAAGCCUAAAAUUAAAUGAAGGGACUAAUUUACUAGAGUUACUUAUGAGGGGGUAUUAAAGUACUGCUGGUGUAGAGAUGAAAUUCUGUCAUACCUCUUUUCAAUAGAAAAAUAAUGGCACAGGUAUAGGCGAAAGCAUCCCCUUAUGUGAUAACUGACGUUGAGGGACGAAGGCUUUGUGUAGCGAACAGGAUUAGAUACCCCAGUAGUCAAAGCAGAAAAUGAUGAAUGUCAUAGAUUAGAUAAAUAAGUUUAUUCUAUAAAUGAAAGUGUAAGCAUUCCACCUCAAGAGUAAUUUGGCAACAUUGGAACUGAAAUCAUUAGACCGUUUCUGAAACCAGUAGUGAAGUAUGUUGUUUAAUUUGAUGAUCCGCAAAAAACCUUACCACAAUUUGAAUAUUUAUAUCUAUUAUUGUUUUUUAAUUUUGAGGCGAUAUGAUAUAUUUACAAGCGUUGCACGGCUGUCUUCAGUUAAUGUCGCGAGACUUUGGUUAGUUCCAUUAAAUUAACGUAAACCCUUACUUUAUUUUUAUAUAGAGUAGUUCCCCGCUAUAUUGGAUAUGAUAACAGGGACUAAGACAAGUCAUCAUGGCCUAAAUAUUGUGGGCU